rnacentral:rRNA from 1 species
UAAUACGAAGGGGACUAGCGUUGUUCGGAAUUACUGGGCGUAAAGGGCGCGUAGGCGGCCUUGUAAGUCAGAUGUGAAAGGCCUGGGCUCAACCUGGGAAUGGCAUUUGAAACUGCAAAGCUAGAAGACUUGAGAGGGUAGCGGAAUUGCGAGUGUAGAGGUGAAAUUCGUAGAUAUUCGCAAGAACACCAGUGGCGAAGGCGGCUACCUGGCAAGUUAUUGACGCUAAGGCGCGAAAGCGUGGGGAGCAAACAGG